CAGCGCGCCCCCCUCGCCACCCCCGGUCCGGCGCGGCCGGAUCCGGCCCCGGCGACGCCAGAUCCGCCGGCGCCGGCCCCCGUCGGCGUGUGGCUCGCUGCCCCCUGGCCCGGUGCGACGGCCUCCCGACCGGGCUCGCGGCGGCGUGGGCGCGCGCGUGGAGGCGGCCCGGCGGGCCCGGAUCCGGCCACGGCGCCCCCAGAUCCGGCGGCGGCGGCGGCUUCCCGGCGCGGUUGCCCCUGCAGCGCGACGGGCCCCGGCGGUGCCCCCCUCCUGGCUGCUCGGUGGCGAGGAUAUGUGGAGAUGGGAGCUGCUCGGAGGGGAUGAGGAGCAAGAGGAGCGUGCGACGCACUAGAAUCCUUGUUCAGAUGGCUGGAGACGGCAACAUCCUGGCUUGAAGAACGAAGAAUAUCUUGCAUGGAGGUUAACAAAUUCGUUUCUUAUUGAAUUUCUUGUUUCAGUUUUGUUUGCCACGGGCGGUAGGUUUGAACAUAAUUCGUCUCUAUUCAGGUCAAGUGACCUUGCACGCUCCUCAGUUGUGUACUCAGGAUUGAUAUAAUUUUCUUUUGUAUCUGAAAAUAGAAGUUCGCAGCACAAAUUCUGGAUGUUUCGUUGAUUCUUGAACCUGAAAGCGGUUUUGCAUUGCCCUUUUGUCUGCUUGUUUUGCGUAGGGGUCUUCGUGGACAGAGCAGAGGCCAGAGGGGACGGAGCCAAGGAUGCCAUAGAUUCUUCAACUUGUAAUUUAUUUCUCAUUUUUCUAUCCUUUGCAGGUAAAGCAUUCGACAUUAUGCCCCAGGCAGCUGCUGCUGCAUCAGCUCCGGCGAGAGUGAACGGUCUUCAGCUUCAGCGCACUCAUUAACGUCUGGGGAGCUUGUCUGAUCCGGCACAUCAACGAAAUGGAGAAGAAAUAAAUCAAAAGAAAUAAACCAACAAGAAAGAAAAAAAAGGAAGAAGUCCAUUUUUGACCAUCCAACUUUUGUCUCAGUUUGAUUUUGGCCAUCGAACUCCAAAACCGGUUAUCUUUGCCAUCGAACUAUCAAAACCGUUCAAAUUUGACCAUCGGAGCUGUUUUGAUGGGUGAUAUAGCAAAUAGUGAUAAAAUAGUAUAAAGAAUAUUUUAAAAGAUAAAACUCACCAUUACGAACACGUGACCGGAGAAUGACCUAAAUUGGAGGUACGGACAAAAAAUAAUAAUCAUUUUAAAAUCUAAAGACUUAAUUGUAAAUAAAAAAAUUAAAAUCACCCAUCAAAACAGCCCCGAUGGUUAAAUUUGAACGGUUUUGAUAGUUCGAUGGCAAAGAUAACCGGUUUUGGAGUUCGAUGGUCAAAACCAAACUGAGGCAAAAGUUGGAUGGUCAAAAAUGGACUUCUUCUGAAAAAAAGGGGGUCUUUGGUCCCGAUUGGUAACACUAACCGGGGGUUGCCUGACCCGAGACAAAAGGGUCCCCUUUUGUCCUGCCUUGGCGAUCCCGGUUGAGAAACCGGGAUAAAAGGGGUUUUCCAAUCGGGACAACAUGCUUGUUCUAUAGUAGUGAAGGAACACGAAACUUUAGACAAAUUCAUGCCGCUGUAAAGCGUAAUAUCCUGCAUCUUGUGUAUUGGUUUGUAUUUUAGAUGAUUGUAUGUUUUAGAGGGGUACCUGCCCGCCUUUAUAUAGUCUGGAGGGACAGUGUUAUAACUUUUCAGUUUUCAUUUAUUUUCUACUUUGCUUCGGUGAAUUGAUGCUGCUGCUGGCCUGAUGUGCCCAAGUUGAAUGUAGAUUUAAGGAGUUUUGGUCUAA